rnacentral:rRNA from 1 species
UACGGAGGGUGCAAGCGUUAUCCGGAUUCACUGGGUUUAAAGGGUGCGUAGGCGGGUUGGUAAGUCCGUGGUGAAAUCUCCGAGCUUAACUCGGAAACUGCCGUGGAUACUAUCAAUCUUGAAUAUCGUGGAGGUAAGCGGAAUAUGUCAUGUAGCGGUGAAAUGCUUAGAUAUGACACAGAACACCGAUUGCGAAGGCAGCUCACUAAAUUGUAACUGACGCUGAGGCACGAAAGCGUGGGGAGCGAACAGG